rnacentral:rRNA from 1 species
CACGUAGGGCGCGAGCGUUGUCCGGAAUUAUUGGGCGUAAAGAGCUCGUAGGCGGCCUGUUGCGUCCGCUGUGAAAGCCCGGGGCUUAACCCCGGGUCGGCAGUGGAUACGGGCAGGCUAGAGGUAGGUAGGGGAGAAUGGAAUUCCCGGUGUAGCGGUGAAAUGCGCAGAUAUCGGGAGGAACACCGGUGGCGAAGGCGGUUCUCUGGGCCUUACCUGACGCUGAGGAGCGAAAGCGUGGGGAGCGAACAUG